UUCUGGUCCAGCUGGUUGGCUAACGUUAAGCAUGAAGUGAGGAGAGGAACACGCAUCCAGAAGAAGAAGAAGAAGAAGAACGCGCAUGCUCACCCUGAAAUCACACGCUCAAAGAUGGAGGAGGGGGCUAAUCUUUUAUUUACAGUCUAAGGGGCUAAUCAGGACUAGAUAGCUGAAGGCUAUCCGAAUGUCCUGAUAGCGUUGAACACGAACGCGACGACAAUGAAGUGAAAGCCCGGCAUCAUUGUUGUGACUAGUUCGGCUGCAGGGGACAGCGAGACAACAACUCUCUCGUGCAGUGUGCAGAUGGAAGCCCGGAGAGUGGGAGGCAUGUGCUUCUGAAAACUCCACAUCAUACCUUCACAUGCCUGCAGAGAGCCAUGAGGUCAGUGGGAGGUACCACAUGGACAAAGAGGACCUGAGGAGGAGCCUGGCAUUGUUGAAUGCACGAGAUGUGACUCUUCACUGCAUCAUCACUGACCGUCAAACACAAAUAGAGAAGUUCUUCUGAGGGAGCAGCAACACCCAAUAGCACGAUGUCUGGCACACGGAGAAAGCGACUGCUGCUCUUCACAGGCUUGAGAAGGUGCUGACAACAGUGAAGGAUGCUGAGAAACUUGAGCCCUCAUCACCACACUUCAUCUGAGGAGGUUUUUCACAUCAUCUCCUUCUGUCCCUUAAAAAUGUAGUCUUACCAUUUCUUGGAAUGCUGUACAGGUAAAUGAAACUGUAAUUACUUAGAACUUGUGAGAGGGUGUUGCCCAAGGUUUCUGUCAUUAAUACCAUUUUUAUUUUUCUCUGUACUGUACUUCAAGACUGAAAACGCUGACCAACCAC